rnacentral:rRNA from 1 species
AUAAAUAACAAUGCGGGCUCAUUUUGGGUUUGCAAUUGGAAUGAGGACAAGUUAAAUCUCAUAUCGAGAACCGAUUGGAGGGCAAGUCUGGUGCCAGCAGCCGCGGUAAUUCCAGCUCCAAUAGCGUAUAUUAAAGUUGUUGCAGUUAAAAAGCUCGUAGUUGGGUAUAAGUCUGGGGGUUGAGCGAUAGCGAUACCCGCAGACUUAUGACUGGAGGGUGGUGGUUGUUAACUCGACCACCACACCAAAGGUCGUAUUACUUUGAAAAAAUUAGAGUGUUUAAAGCAGUCGUCAGACCGAAUACCAAAGCAUGGAAUAACGGAAUAGGACUCUUGUUUUAUUUGUUGGUUAUGGAACGAGGGUAAUGAUCAACAGGGACAGUUGGGGCAUUAGUAUUGGCGCGUCAGAGGUGAAAUUCUUGGAUCGCGGCAAGACUCGCUAGUGCGAAAGCAUUUGCCAAGGAUGUUUUCAUUAAUCAAGAACGAAAGUUAGGGAUCGAAGACGAUCAGAUACCGUCGUAGUCUUAACCGUAAACGAUGCCGACGCGGGUUUUGUGCUGUUUGGCAGUGUGGAGAACCGGGGAGAAAUUUAGUUUUUGGGUUCUGGGGGAGUAUGGUCGCAAGGCUGAAACUUGAAGGAAUUGACGGAAGGGCACCACCAGGAGUGGAGCCUGCGGCUUAAUUUGACUCAACACGGGAAACUCACCAGGUCCAGACAUGGGAAGGAUUGACAGGUUGACAGCUCUUUCGAGAUUCUAUGGGAGGUGGUGCAUGGCCGUUCUUAGUUGGUGGAGUGAUUUGUCAGGUUAAUUCCGAUAACGAACGAGACUUUAAAAGUGUCUUUGGUGGGGUUGUUUCGACAGCUGCCGGCAAGACAUUUGACAAUGCACGCCAAGUGCAUGGAGGUUUGAGGCAAUAACAGGUCUGUGAUGCCCUUAGAUGUUCUGGGCCGCACGCGCGCUACACUGACGGGGGCAGCGGGUUUCCUUUUCCGACAGGGAGGGGAAUCGGAAAGCCCGUCGUGGUAGGGAUAGUCCUUUGGAAUUUUUGGACUUGCACGAGGAAUUCCUAGUAAGCGUGAGUCAUCAGCUUGCGUUGAUUACGUCCCUGCCCUUUGUACACACCGCCCGUCACUACUACCGAUUGAAUGGCUUAGUGAGGC